rnacentral:lncRNA from 1 species
GAAGCAUUGAUAGGAAUUGCAUUAGCAGUGCUGGAGCUGCUCAAGUAGGGCGGCCUGGUGACCCCAGCCAAGGUCAAAGGGGAAAACUGUGUCCACAGCAUUUGGUGCCAAACACCACCGGGAGUGGCCCUUACAGAGCGAAUCAGAGACACCUCUCUAUGCCAGACUAUUUGGACAGACACUUGAGAAGACCAUGAUGUUUCUUGCUGAGGAGAGGAGACUCUGAAUGCAAAGCAAACGUUGCUGUUAGAAGCAACGCCAGCCCACCAGCCAUAGACCACGUGGGGAUCGGAGGAGAGGAACGUUGGUCCAGGUGCUGAGGCAACUUUCCAGUGACCGGGAUGGGGUACCAAGCGGCUUUCCCUAGAGCUCUGAAGGCACUGAGAUGGAAAUUCACACGACAAUGCUCAUUUCAGCCUGUCAUUUGUAAUUUGUGGGUAUCAACAACACCGUUUUGAAUAGGCUAAUGGAAUACCAUACGCUUUGACUCCAUAAUGACACUGCAGAGCAUCCAUACUAUGGAAAUAAUAGCACAAAUAAUGUUCCAGGAUGUUCGGUUUGUAUUGCUAGAAAAUAAUUGGGGAAAAUAGGGGAAAAGCUGGAAAAACACUUUCAUUUGUAGCAAAAUAGAAUGAUGGAAUAAAUCACUGUAGAUUUGAAUAGAGGAACUCUAA